AACUUUCAACAACGGAUCUCUUGGUUCUCGCAUCGAUGAAGAACGCAGCGAAAUGCGAUAAGUAAUAUGAAUUGCAAAUUUUCGUGAAUCAUCGAAUCUUUGAACGCACAUUGCGCCCUCUGGUAUUCCAGAGGGCAUGCCUGUUUGAGCGU
rnacentral:rRNA from 1 species